rnacentral:misc_RNA from 1 species
GAUGAAGAACGUAGUGAAAUGCGAUAAGUAAUGUGAAUUGCAGAAUUUAGUGAAUCAUCGAAUCUUUGAACGCAUAUUGCGCCCGCCAGCACUCUGGCGGGCAUGCCUGUUCGAGCGUCAUUUCAACCCUCAGGCCUCGCGUCUGGCGUUGGGGCGCUGCGGCCCUCCCGCAGGCCCCCAAAUUUAGCGGCGGAUUCCCCGCGGCCCUGAGCGCAGUAGAGAGUAAAAACUUUAACGCUCCGGCGGCCGUGGCGCGGUUCUGCCUCUUUCCCAAUAGCGCCAAUAGCGCCACCCCCAAAAAAGUUGACCUCGGAUCAGGUAGGACUACCCGCUGAACUUAAGCAUAUCAAUAAGCGGAGGA